GACGAACGCUGGCGGCGUGCCUAACACAUGCAAGUCGAGCGAUGAAAUCCCUUCGGGGAUGGAUUAGCGGCGGACGGGUGAGUAACACGUGGGCAACCUACCUCAAAAUGGGGGAUAGCCUCCUGAAAGGGAGAUGAAUACCGCAUAACAUUAGUUUUUCACAUGAAGAACUAAUUAAAGGAGUAAUCCGUUUUGAGAUGGGCCCGCGGCGCAUUAGCUAGUUGGUGAGGUAAUGGCUCACCAAGGCGACGAUGCGUAGCCGACCUGAGAGGGUGAUCGGCCACAUUGGAACUGAGACACGGUCCAGACUCCUACGGGAGGCAGCAGUGGGGAAUAUUGCACAAUGGGGGAAACCCUGAUGCAGCAACGCCGCGUGAGUGAUGAAGGUCUUCGGAUUGUAAAGCUCUGUCUUUAGGGACGAUAAUGACGGUACCAAAGGAGGAAGCCACGGCUAACUACGUGCCAGCAGCCGCAGUAAGAC
rnacentral:rRNA from 1 species